rnacentral:rRNA from 1 species
UGGCUCACCAAGGCUGCGAUCAGUAGCCGGUCUGAGAGGACGGUCGGCCACACUGGAACUGAGACACGGUCCAGACUCCUACGGGAGGCAGCAGUGGGGAAUUUUUCGCAAUGGGGGCAACCCUGACGAAGUAACGCCGCGUGGGUGACGAAGUAUCUCGGUACGUAAAACCCUUUCGACGGGGAAGAAAACCGCAAGGUUUGACGGUACCCGUAGAAGAAGCCCCGGCUAACUCCGUGCCAGCAGCCGCGCAAUACGGGGCGGGCAAGCGUUGUUCGGAAUUACUGGGCGUAAAGGGCGCGUAGGCGGUUUGUUAAGUUGAAUGUGAAAACUCUGGGCUUAACCCAGAGCCUGCAUUCAAUACUGGCAGGCUAGAGUUCUGGAGGGGAUAGCGGAAUUCCUGGUGUAGCGGUGAAAUGCGUAGAUAUCAGGAGGAACACCGGUGGCGAAGGCGGCUAUCUGGACAGAGUCUGACGCUGAGGCGCGAAAGCUAGGGGAGCAAACAGGAUUAGAUACCCUGGUAGUCCUAGCCCUAAACGAUGGAUACUUGCUGUAACUGGGAUUGAAUCCAGUCGUGGCGAAGCUAACGCAUUAAGUAUCCCGCCUGGGGAGUACGGUCGCAAG